GAUGAAGAACGUAGCGAAAUGCGAUAAGUAAUGUGAAUUGCAGAAUUCAGUGAAUCAUCGAAUCUUUGAACGCACAUUGCGCCCGCCAGUAUUCUGGCGGGCAUGCCUGUUCGAGCGUCAUUUCAACCCUCAAGCCCAGCUUGGUGUUGGGGAUCGGCACAGGCGCCCUCGGGCGCCCGCCGUCCCCUAAAUCUAGUGGCGGUCCCGCUGCAGCCUCCUCUGCGUAGUAGUUUUCUCCUCGCAAGGGCAGAUCGGUGGCGACCUCGCCGUAAAACCCCCAACUUCUGAAAGGUUGACCUCGAAUCAGGUAGGAAUACCCGCUGAACUUAAGCAUAUCAAUAAGCGGAGGA
rnacentral:misc_RNA from 1 species